AUGUGUGACAAGAUCGAGCUUGCAUGGAUUAUCUUUGACGAUGAUGACACCAUUCUAGUUGACACACACGCUACAGAUCAUAUGGAUACUAGUGUUGGAGAUUCGGUUUUGCAUUGUGAUGAUUCUUCCAUGGAUGAGCCAGAGCUGCAGUUAGUUGUUUUUGAUAUUGAGGAGUCACCUUUAGUUGAUAUUGAUCAUGUGUUGCUAGAGCCAGAUAUGGAGAAGUUCACCUUCGAUGAUGUUAGCCGCAUUGUUUCCUCAACACUGGAGCCUGAGAUGGAGAGCUUCAUGGUUGAGUAUGGUGAGGUGGAUUCAGAUGUCAAGGAGCCAAGCUCUACUAUUUCACUUGUUGACACGAGUCCGGUUGAAAUUUCUACUACCACACCUCACUUGGUAUCUUCAAUUGAGGUAGUCUUGAAGCUUCUUCCUAACUAUCUCAGGUAUGAUCUCGGCUUUUUGGACAAGACAUGUCAUAUCGCUGAUAUUGCCUAUGCACCAUGUGACUUGUUGUUGAUGCAUGUUCCUGAUUUGCUCAAUAGAUAUACUUAUAUGAUAGGGUACUCUAUCGAUGACUUAGAGGGCAUUCUCUCUGUCACUUGUAUUGGCUUGGUUGUUGAGUGUUCUUUCAGGUUGAUGCUUGUGUACCAUUUACUGCGAGUUGACCGAGUUCGAGAUGACAUUCCCUGGGAUCCUGGUGGAUUCACAGCAUGGUGA
rnacentral:rRNA from 1 species